CCUACGGGGGGCAGCAGUGAGGAAUAUUGGUCAAUGGCCGGAAGGCUGAACCAGCCAUGCCGCGUGAAGGUCAGUGCCCUAUGGGCGUUAAACUUCUUUUGUGCGGGAGCAAUAAUGGUCACGUGUGGCCAGACGAGAGUACCGUACGAAUAAGCAUCGGCUAACUCCGUGCCAGCAGCCGCGGUAAUACGGGGGAUGCAAGCGUUAUCCGGAUUUAUUGGGUUUAAAGGGUGCGUAGGCUGUGAGGUAAGUCAGCGGUGAAAUGCCCCCGCUCAACGGGGUGAAGUGCCAUUGAUACUGCCUGGCUGGAAUGCGGAUGCCGUGGGAGGAAUGUGUGGUGUAGCGGUGAAAUGCAUAGAGAUCACACAGAACACCGAUUGCGAAGGCAUCUCACGAAUCCGCGAUUGACGCUGAUGCACGAAAGCGUGGGUAUCAAACAGGAUUAGAUACCCCAGUAGUC
rnacentral:rRNA from 1 species